rnacentral:misc_RNA from 1 species
AACCUUAUGGACCUGCGGGCGUAUACCUGCGGAGGGAUCAUUAUUGAUUGAUAAAAGGAUGUGCUGGCAAAUAAAAUUCUAUAUUUUUUUUGGCAUCGUGCACUCCUGAAAUCUUCAUCCACCAGUGCACUACUUUGUAGACAAAAAUUUAAUAAAUUAAUUUUAUUGCUUUUUGUCUAUGCUUUUCUAAACACUUGAAAGUUUUUAUGGAAUGAUGUUCUUGACUUUAUCAAAAGUCAA